AUUGAACGCUGGCGGCAUGCUUUACACAUGCAAGUCGAACGGUAACAGGCCUUCGGGUGCUGACGAGUGGCGAACGGGUGAGUAAUGCAUCGGAACGUGCCCAGAGGUGGGGGAUAACGCAGCGAAAGCUGUGCUAAUACCGCAUGUGAUCUGAGUAUGAAAGCGGGGGACCAUGCAGCAAUGUUUGGCCUCGCGCCUUUGGAGCGGCCGAUGUCAGAUUAGGUAGUUGGUGGGGUAAAGGCCUACCAAGCCGACGAUCUAUAGCUGGUCUGAGAGGACGACCAGCCACACUGGGACUGAGACACGGCCCAUACUCCUACGGGAGGCAGCAGUGGGGAAUUUUGGACAAUGGGCGCAAGCCUGAUCCAGCAAUGCCGCGUGCGGGAAGAAGGCCUUCGGGUUGUAAACCGCUUUUGUACGGAACGAAAAGUCUCUGGCUAAUACCUGAGGCUGAUGACGGUACCGUAAGAAUAAGCACCGGCUAACUACGUG
rnacentral:rRNA from 1 species